UUGGAUUUAACUGGGUCUUGAACCAAACUGAAUGAGUCAGACCAAAUAAAAAAACCAAACUAAAGGCCACGAUAAGAUUUCUGUGGCAAACUGCACAAAUACCCACUACGACAAAUGUCAAAUAUAGUGAAGACAACUCAUAUCUGCACAUGUGGCUGUUUGCCUGUGGAUCUAAAUCUUACUAGAACGACACACAUUUUGAAUGGCGAGGAUCUGGUGCAAAGGUGUGUUUUUGGAACAGUAUAAUAUGGGUACCAAGAGUUGAAACACACACGAGAAACUUACACCACACGUUGACGAAUCUAGAACGAAGGAAAAUUCUUGGACGACAGAUCUGAAACAGCGGCGAGGAUACCAAGAGUCACCGGAUGACAUAAAAUGGAUGGAAACCCACACCACAUGAACUUAGUUGCCGAUAAGUCGCAUGUCAGACGAAACCCACACCAUGCGAACAAAAAUACCAAGAGAGAUGCAUGAUUGAGCCACGACUUCGAGGAUGAGGAACUUGAGCAAAUUAUACAUUUUGGAGCGUAUGUGCCAUUUGUCGUCGAUUUUGAGCUAUUAAAAGUGAUAUCAAAAGAGUGCCACGAUGCUUUGAAUUUUGGCGGACACGCACCCAACGCGCUCGUAGGGCACGAUGGAGAGGGUGUAUCGUUAGGCGACUCUGCACGUGGGGUAGUGCUUCAGUAACAAAAGCCAGAGCAUCGCUGCACUUGACAGCAGUUCUGCGACACCCGACCCAUUUCUAUAAAUACUUCUUGCUCUUUUAGGGUUUUUUAAAUGCUAGUUUGGAUGGAGGCUGAGGAGAGACUAAAAGUCCUUCUUCCUUUAUCUUUUUAGCAUUUUAGCCUAGGAUUAGCUUAGGGUUUUUGGGUUGUAAUCAUGGAUUAGAGCUCUUCACCUCUUCCUUCUUUGUCUAUGCAGAAAUUAGAUAAGUGUUCUUGUUCUUUGGAGUAAAUCUAUGUAACUACUUAAGAAUUGUUUUAUAUAACUCUAUAUUGAUUUAUGCAUCUUUGAAUCUAUUAAAAAUAUUUUAUGUA